GUGGGGAAUAUUCCGCAAUGGACGAAAGUCUGACGGAGCAACGCCGCGUGAGUGAUGAAGGUUUUCGGACUGUAAAGCUCUGUUGUUUAGGACGAAAGUGCCUGUUGCAAAUAGUUACAGGUAUUGACGGUACUGAACGAGGAAGCCAAGGCUAACUACGUGCCAGCAGCCGAGGUAAUACGUAGGUGGCAAGCGUUGUCCGGAAUUAUUGGGCGUAAAGAGCAUGUAGGCGGGAAUCUAAGUCUGUUGUGAAAAUGCGGGGCUCAACCCCGUAUUGCGAUGGACACUGGGUUUCUUGAGUGCAGGAGAGGAAAUGGGAAUUCCCAGUGUAGCGGUGAAAUGCGUAGAUAUUGGGAGGAACACCAGUGGCGAAGGCGACUUUCUGGACUGUAACUGACGCUGAGGCUCGAAAGCCAGGGGAGCGAACGGGAUUAGAAACCCUAGUAGUCC
rnacentral:rRNA from 1 species